UCGAGCGAACUGAUUAGAAGCUUGCUUCUAUGACGUUAGCGGCGGACGGGUGAGUAACACGUGGGCAACCUGCCUGUAAGACUGGGAUAACUUCGGGAAACCGAAGCUAAUACCGGAUAGGAUCUUCUCCUUCAUGGGAGAUGAUUGAAAGAUGGUUUCGGCUAUCACUUACAGAUGGGCCCGCGGUGCAUUAGCUAGUUGGUGAGGUAACGGCUCACCAAGGCMACGAUGCAUAGCCGACCUGAGAGGGUGAUCGGCCACACUGGGACUGAGACACGGCCCAGACUCCUACGGGAGGCAGCAGUAGGGAAUCUUCCGCAAUGGACGAAAGUCUGACGGAGCAACGCCGCGUGAGUGAUGAAGGCUUUCGGGUCGUAAAACUCUGUUGUUAGGGAAGAACAAGUACAAGAGUAACUGCUUGUACCUUGACGGUACCUAACCAGAAAGCCACGGCUAACUACGUGCCAGCAGCCGCGGUAAUACGUAGGUGGCAAGCGUUAUCCGGAAUUAUUGGGCGUAAAGCGCGCGCAGGCGGUUUCUUAAGUCUGAUGUGAAAGCCCACGGCUCAACCGUGGAGGGUCAUUGGAAACUGGGGAACUUGAGUGCAGAAGAGAAAAGCGGAAUUCCACGUGUAGCGGUGAAAUGCGUAGAGAUGUGGAGGAACACCAGUGGCGAAGGCGGCUUUUUGGUCUGUAACUGACGCUGAGGCGCGAAAGCGUGGGGAGCAAACAGGAUUA
rnacentral:rRNA from 1 species